rnacentral:rRNA from 1 species
UACGAAGGGGGCUAGCGUUGUUCGGAAUCACUGGGCGUAAAGGGCUCGUAGGCGGCCAACUAAGUCAGACGUGAAAUCCCUCGGCUUAACCGGGGAACUGCGUCUGAUACUGGAUGGCUUGAGUGUGGGAGAGGGAUGCGGAAUUCCAGGUGUAGCGGUGAAAUGCGUAGAUAUCUGGAGGAACACCGGUGGCGAAGGCGGCAUCCUGGACCACGACUGACGCUGAGGAGCGAAAGCCAGGGGAGCAAACGGG